rnacentral:lncRNA from 1 species
AGGGGAGUCCUCUCUAUCUUAGUGCUGGUGGUGGAGGGCCAGGGUCAUGUGAUGCUGCAGAUCCAGGCUCUGGAACAGCCCAAAUGUCUGCACUCAAAUUCUGCCUCUACCAUUUACUGGCUGCGUGACCGUGGGCAUGAUACUUUGCCUCUCUGUUCCUCAGUUACUUUUUCUAUAAAAAAAAGUAUGACAGCAGAGUGAUGGGGUUGUUAGUGGAGCGUCAACCAGGAAGCAUAUGUGUUCUAGUUAAUGUGUACUGGCUGUCAUAAGGAAGACCAAUUUGUCCAGGGUGUCCUGCAUCAUUAUUAACACUCUCCUUUUCACUCUCAUAAGUGAAUGGAUUGCACGAUAAAUUCUAAGGCUGACUAGCUCUUGUCUUUUCUUUUAUGUCCAUCUGGUUAUCUCCCGGCUUUGUGCCGUCUCUAAGUACUGGGGAGCAUGUUCCUGAAGUGUAGAUCCCCAAACACAGCUCUGCCCAUGCCACUGACUUGUCUGUGCCAUGGACUUAGCUCUUCCUUCCUUCCUUUUUCUCUUCACUGUGUCCCUCCCUCUCCUUCCUCUUCUCCCACAACCACCCUCUCCUUUCUGCUUCCCCCCAUUAGUGCCUACGGGGGCUGGCAGUGGGCACAGGUACCUUCUGACUUGACUGACAGCUCUCACUGACCAUGCACACUUGGAUGGGACACCCUCUGGCUCUAAGUUAAGCCUUAACCAAAUGUCUCUUAAAGGAAAGGAAACAAUUUGAGAUGUCAAGGAAAUUACUUGACCACUUGAUGGAUGAGUGGAAAUAAUGGGCCAUUCUGUGUAUGUGUGUGUUGUUUAAAGGAAAUAAAGGCAAUACGGGCUUAAAAUGGUCCAUUCAAUGCCAGAACCUGUCUAUAAAAACCUUCUCAGAGUCAAACACAGGGCAGUCCCCAACAAGUUCACUGUGUAUAAGUGGAUGGACAUAUGGACUCAGCAGGCUUUUCCAAAUGCUUGGCGAGAUUCACUACAUCUUGGUGCUAAUAUACACAUACACACGUGUGCACACACACAUAUACACAUGUGCCUACACACACAGACACACAUGCACACACACACACAUGCACGCACACGCACACACACCUAGUCCACAGCUGCAGCGCCAGCUGAGUCAUGUGGCCAGACCACAGCAGGAACAGGCCCAGGGAGGAAGUGCAGCCCCAGUAAUAAGCCCAUUUCCUGACCUUCUUCCUUUGCUCUGGAAGGUUCUCUUUCUGUCUCUUUGUCUUUUGAUUCUCUGUCUCUCUCAGUGCUUUGUGUUUACUCAAGGUAACAGCCAUGCUUUUGUCCUGGUCCACGUGGCAAGAGCUCAUAACAGCACUGACAUGCAACCAAAGAACCUGGAAGAGAAGAAUGGAAAUUUUUUCCACCCCUACAUCUGGCAACUGUGA